rnacentral:rRNA from 1 species
CCAAUAGCGUAUAUUAAAGUUGUUGCAGUUAAAAAGCUCGUAGUUGAACUUCGGGAUUUGCCCAUUGGUCAGGCUUAACUGUCUGUACUGGUGUGACGAGUUCCUACCUUCUGAGGAAUCUCCAUGUCAUUCAGUUGGUGUGGGGGGGAAUCAGGACUGUUACUUUGAAAAAAUUAGAGUGUUUAAAGCAGGCGUCCGUCUGAAUACAUUAGCAUGGAAUAAUAAAAUAGGACGGUUUGGUUCUAUUUUGUUGGUUUCUAGGAUCACCGUAAUGAUUAAUAGGGAUAGUUGGGGGCAUUAGUAUUCAAUUGUCAGAGGUGAAAUUCUUGGAUUUAUUGAAGACUAACUACUGCGAAAGCAUUUGCCAAGGAUGUUUUCAUUAAUCAAGAACGAAAGUUAGGGGAUCGAAGACGAUCAGAUACCGUCGUAGUCUUAACCAUAAACUAUGCCGACUAGGGAUCGGACGAAGUUAAUUUUUUAAUGACUCGUUCGGCACCUUACG